rnacentral:ribozyme from 14 species
AAAAAAAAGAAUUGGAGGGAGAAUAUGGAGCAGAUAUAGAUGUAUUUUGCAUUUUGAGCACGUUUUUCAAUUUUCUUUUUUU